AUGUCGUCGCUCUGCCGCGCGCCGCGGGAGACCGACUUCGCGCGCUUCCCGGACUCCGCCCCCAUCGUCAUCGACAACGGCGCCUCCACCUUCCGCAUCGGGUGGGCUGGCGAGGCGGAGCCGCGCGUCUCCUUCCGUAACAUCGUGCAGAGGCCCCGCCACCGCAGCUCAGGUGAAACUGUGACAGUUGUAGGAGACACUGAUCCAGCUCUAAUGAAGUACUUUGACUGCACACGGACAUCAAUUCGCUCAGCGUUCGAUGAUGAUGUCGUCUAUCAGUUUGAGUACAUGGAAUAUAUUCUUGAUUAUGCUUUUGACCGAUUAGGUGCCACAUCAGAGGUGGGCCAUCCCAUUCUUAUGACAGAGUGUGAGUGCAAUCCAUCCUUUUCUCGAGCACGAAUGUCUGAACUUCUUUUCGAGACAUAUGGUGUGCCAUCCGUUGCUUUUGGUAUCGAUGAUGUAUUUAGUUACAAGUACAAUCAGAAGCUUGGAAACUGCGGAGAAGAUGGGUUGGCUAUUUCGUGUGAAUUUGGAACAUGCCACGUUGUUCCAUUCUUAAAAGGGCAGCCUGUGCUGGGGGCAUGCUGCCGAACAAAUGUUGGUGGAUCUCACAUUACUGAUUUCCUGAGGCAGCUCCUCUCUCUUAAAUAUCCCUAUCACGUGGCAAACUUUACAUGGGAAAAGGCUGAAGAGCUGAAGAAGGAACAUUGUUAUAUAGCUGCUGAUUAUAUGUCAGAGUUGCAGAUAUUCAAAAAUAACAAGGAAGAAGCUGAAGAGAAGACUAGGUACUGGCAGCUACCAUGGGUACCCCCACCCAGAGAUGAACCGCCAUCUGAGGAAGAGCUAGCGAGGAAGGCGGCUUAUAAGGAAAAGGCUGGUCAACGUUUGCGAGACAUGGCUGCUGCAAAGAGGUCUCAGAAGAUAGCAGAUCUGGAAGAAAAACUCUCUGGCCUGGAGGAUUUGAUGGAUCACCUUGAUGGAGCUGAUGAAUCGCAAACAACGUCUAUUCUGGGUAGAUCUGGAUACCUUUCCCAGCAGGAAAUUAAGUCUGAUAUUCUGAAAGCAACACAGUCUCUAAGAAAAGCGAAGGGGGAGUCCAAUGGCAAUGAGGAGAACGCAGAUGCUUCAGGAGCUGAUAAGUACCCACUUGUAUCUGUCCCUGAUGACAUGUUGACACCAGAGCAGUUGAAGGAAAAGAAGAAACAGAUACUACUUAAAACCACGACAGAGGGCAAGCUGCGCGCCAAGCAGAGGCGUGCCGAGGAGGCAGCAUUGAGGGAGAAACAAGAAGAAGAGAGGCGCACGGAGAACCCAGAGUUAUACUUUGAUGAGCUCCGUGCCCGAUAUUUAGAACUUUCUGAGAAAGUUGAUCAGAGGAAGCGACAAAAGGUUAACGGCAACAAUAAUUCAUCUGGUGCCGUAGGCCGUGGCGAGCGUCUAAAUGCCGCCCAGAAAGAAAGAAUGCGGCUGCUCACCACUGCUGCAUUUGACCGAGGGAAAGGCGAGGACACUUUUGGAAUGAGAGAUGAAGAUUGGUUGGUCUACAAAAAGAUGAGCAAAGAGAAUGAGGAAGAUGAUGAUGGGAAAGAUGACGAUGAAUCAGAACUUGCUCGAAUCGCAUCAAAAAUCCAGGUAAGGUCCCACUCUCUAGCUUUCCUCUUCAUGAUGUCCAUUUUCUCAUAUUUACGUUUCUUUGGUGAAGUAAAAAACACUAAAACUAAUUGUAUCAUAAUAACACGACGCUUCCCCGUGCAGGAGGUGGACCCUACAUUUGUGAACAAACAUGACGCUGUUGAACCAGCUCCAGACCCUCAUAAAGUCCGGCCUCUCACCGCAGACGAUUUCAAAAUCGCCAUCGGGAUCGAGCGGUUCCGCUGCCCCGAAGUACUAUUCCAGCCCGGCAUGAUAGGAGUCGACCAGGCUGGCAUCGAUGAGAUGGUCAGCAUCUCCCUCAGGAGGCUACUGGAGGACGAGUCUGUCAAGGAGCGCCUCUGCCAGUCCAUCCUCGUCACAGGUGGCAGCUCCCUGUUCCCCGGGAUGAUCCCUCGGCUCGAAUCCGGGAUCCGGCAGUUCCGGCCCUAUCUCGCGCCGCUGAAGCUUGUGAGAGCUGCCGACCCCAUCCUGGACGCGUGGCGGGGUGCUGCCGCCUUUGCGGCUUCCAGCAAGUUUGGGAAGCAGACUUUCACCUUGGCGGAUUACAGAGAGCACGGCGAGAGCCUGUUCCAUCGCUACAAUAUUGUCUACACGUUGUAG
rnacentral:rRNA from 1 species